UACAGAGGUCUCAAGCGUUGUUCGGAUUCAUUGGGCGUAAAGGGUGUGUAGGUGGCGCCGUAAGUCAGGUGUGAAAUUUCGGAGCUUAACCCCGAAACUGCAUUUGAUACUGCGGUGCUUGAGGACUGGAGAGGAGACUGGAAUUCCCGGUGUAGCAGUGAAAUGCGUAGAGAUCGGGAGGAACAUCAGUUGCGAAGGCGGCUCUCUGGACCAGCACUGACACUGAGGCACGAAAGCGUGGGGAGCAAACAGG
rnacentral:rRNA from 1 species